rnacentral:rRNA from 1 species
UUGAACGCUGGCGGCAUGCUUUACACAUGCAAGUCGAACGGUAACAGGUCUUCGGAUGCUGACGAGUGGCGAACGGGUGAGUAAUACAUCGGAACGUGCCUAGUAGUGGGGGAUAACUACUCGAAAGAGUAGCUAAUACCGCAUGAGAUCUACGGAUGAAAGCAGGGGACCUUCGGGCCUUGUGCUACUAGAGCGGCUGAUGGCAGAUUAGGUAGUUGGUGGGGUAAAGGCUUACCAAGCCUGCGAUCUGUAGCUGGUCUGAGAGGACGACCAGCCACACUGGGACUGAGACACGGCCCAGACUCCUACGGGAGGCAGCAGUGGGGAAUUUUGGACAAUGGGCGAAAGCCUGAUCCAGCAAUGCCGCGUGCAGGAUGAAGGCCCUCGGGUUGUAAACUGCUUUUGUACAGAACGAAAAGCCUGGGGCUAAUAUCCCCGGGUCAUGACGGUACCGUAAGAAUAAGCACCGGCUAACUACGUG